UCUAACGCAGCACUGCAGAGGCACUGGCAGAAGACAGGCUUGCAGGGGUUCACUCUCCUCUCCCCACGCUUACUAGCUACAAAGAUGAACCAGCAGCUGAGUUGAUGCAAGGAGGGACACUUACCUCCCCAAGACGUGGGGGCAGCUGAUUGCCCUGAGGGACCCGAGGAGGACAGCGGAUCCAGGUCCAACAAGGAACUGGUGAAGGAGGCAGAUAUGGAGAGCGAACAACAUGCAGUUCAUCAUUCUUUUCAGAAGCUUUCCUUGGCCCAAGGGGACUGUGUUUUCUACAAAUUGGGCUGAACAGUGGCUUCUUGCAGCAGUGCCAUCCCUUGACACUCUCAAUCUGUUGUCAUGGAAACGGACUGCACCACCACCGCCACCAACAACAUGCACACGCCCACGCCCACCCCAAGGGUCACUGACUGUGUCACCGUGGAAUAAAUAUGACUUAUUGGCUUUCUGUAUAUAUCUACCAUCAAAGAAGCUCUUGUAAAUAAAACAUACUGAAAGAUAUUUAAUUAUUUAGGCAGCCUUUACUUGUACUUUUUUGCUCUUACUUCUUAUUUUCAGCCUAAACUAUAUCAAGACAAAAAAUAAUAAUCAUUGAUUUUUUGAGGUUAGGAAUUUCCUCCAGCCAAGACACACAUGCAAGAGAAGCACAGUGGCCUACAUACAAGAGGUUUUUUAAAUUGCCCUAGUAACAGAUACAGCAUAACCUCAUGGACUAAAAACCUUAGGAAGACAACACGUCCAUAUGUGUGUCUUGUUUAUUUGUCUCAUAAGUCUAGUUUAUAAGGAUAUUUCCACAUGUCUGGAGAGUUUGUCAUAUCAAGAGAUCAAUAAAGUGUCUCCUGUAGUUUUGAGAAAGAGGUAAAGGCUUGUACCAGUCCAAGUCUGUGCAGUCGAAAGUUAAAGACACAGAAAACAAACCUAUGGACACAGCAGAGAGUGAGGGAGCAAUGGUCUCUAGUGCAUGGCUAGCAUUAGCAUUGUCACCUUUGGCUGUGUAAAUAAUGCAAGGCAGUCAUUGGCUGAUUUUUAAAUUAUUCAGCAGGGGAGCGGAUCACAAGAUAUAAGGUCCUAGCCCAAGACACAGGACCAGACCUGCCCAGCGACCACACAGACACAGACAGACAAAAAAGGAAGACAUGGAGGGCCAAUCAGACCACCCGUCAUCUGCAGUGCCAUGCUAGCGCUUUGGUCUGACUCACUGUUUAUGCUAUAUGACAGUAAUUAGUUUGUCAUAAGGUGGCCCCUGCUGUCAUCUGGAGAUGUGUCAAUAAAGCUGUGAGGUUUGAUAAUGUUAUUCAUCUGCGCCUUUAUGGCCCUAUACCAGCCUAAAG